ACACCGGCGCCCCGAGUGGCAGCCACGAUUAUUGGGCCUAAAGCGUCCGUAGCCGGCCGUGUAAGUCUCUCGUGAAAUCCUCUGGCUUAACCAGAGGGCUUGCGGGAGAUACUGCACGGCUAGGGACCGGAAGGGGCCGGAGGUAUUCCCGGGGUAGCGGUAAAAUGUUAUAAUCCCGGGAGGACCACCGGUGGCGAAGGCGUCCGGCCAGGACGGGUCCGACGGUGAGGGACGAAAGCUGGGGGAGCAAACUGGAUUAGAUACCCUAGUAGUCC
rnacentral:rRNA from 1 species